UUUUGCGCGGAAAAUAUAACGGGGCUAAAGUAAGUACCGAAGCUGUAGACUUAGUUUACUAAGUGGUAGGAGAGCGUUCUAUUUGCGUCGAAGGUAUACCGGUAAGGAGUGCUGGAGCGAAUAGAAGUGAGCAUGCAGGCAUGAGUAGCGAUAAUUAAUGUGAGAAUCAUUAACGCCGUAAACCCAAGGUUUCCUACGCGAUGCUCGUCAUCGUAGGGUUAGUCGGGUCCUAAGUCGAGUCCGAAAGGGGUAGACGAUGGCAAAUUGGUUAAUAUUCCAAUACCAACAUUAGUGUGCGAUGGAAGGACGCUUAGGGCUAAGGGGGCUAGCGGAUGGAAGUGCUAGUCUAAGGUCGUAGGAGGUUGUACAGGCAAAUCCGUAUAACAAUACUCCGAGAACUGAAAGGCUUUUUGAAGUCUUCGGAUGGAUAGAAGAACCCCUGAUGCCGUCGAGCCAAGAAAAGUUUCUAAGUUUAGCUAAUGUUGCCCGUACCGUAAACCGACACAGGUGGGUGGGAUGAGUAUUCUAAGGCGCGUGGAAGAACUCUCUUUAAGGAACUCUGCAAAAUAGCACCGUAUCUUCGGUAUAAGGUGUGGUUAGCUUUGUAUUAGGAUUUACUCCGAAAGCAAGGAAACUUACAACAAAGAGUCCCUCCCGACUGUUUACCAAAAACACAGCACUCUGCUAACUCGUAAGAGGAUGUAUAGGGUGUGACGCCUGCCCGGUGCUCGAAGGUUAAUUGAUGGGGUUAGCAUUAGCGAAGCUCUUGAUCGAAGCCCGAGUAAACGGCGGCCGUAACUAUAACGGUCCUAAGGUAGCGAAAUUCCUUGUCGGUUAAAUACCGACCUGCAUGAAUGGCGUAACGAGAUGGGAGCUGUCUCAAAGAGGGAUCCAGUGAAAUUGUAGUGGAGGUGAAAAUUCCUCCUACCCGCGGCAAGACGGAAAGACCCCGUGGACCUUUACUACAGCUUGACACUGCUACUUGGAUAAGAAUGUGCAGGAUAGGUGGGAGGCUUUGAGUAUAUGACGCCAGUUGUAUAUGAGCCAUUGUUGAGAUACCACUCUUUCUUAUUUGGGUAGCUAACCAGCUUGAGUUAUCCUCAAGUGGGACAAUGUCUGGUGGGUAGUUUGACUGGGGCGGUCGCCUCCCAAAUAAUAACGGAGGCUUACAAAGGUUGGCUCAGAACGGUUGGAAAUCGUUCGUAGAGUAUAAAGGUAUAAGCCAGCUUAACUGCAAGACAUACAAGUCAAGCAGAGACGAAAGUCGGUCUUAGUGAUCCGGUGGUUCUGUGUGGAAGGGCCAUCGCUCAAAGGAUAAAAGGUACCCCGGGGAUAACAGGCUGAUCUCCCCCAAGAGCUCACAUCGACGGGGAGGUUUGGCACCUCGAUGUCGGCUCAUCGCAUCCUGGGGCUGGAGCAGGUCCCAAGGGUAUGGCUGUUCGCCAUUUAAAGCGGUACGCGAGCUGGGUUCAGAACGUCGUGAGACAGUUCGGUCCCUAUCUGCCGUGGGCGUAAGAAGAUUGAAGAGAUUUGACCCUAGUACGAGAGGACCGGGUUGAACAAACCACUGGUGUAGCUGUUGUUCUGCCAAGAGCAUCGCAGCGUAGCUAAGUUUGGAAAGGAUAAACGCUGAAAGCAUCUAAGCGUGAAGCCAACUCUAAGAUGAAUCUUCUCUAAGCUCUCUAGAAGACUACUAGUUUGAUAGGCUGGGUGUGUAAUGGAUGAAAGUCCUUUAGCUGACCAGUACUAAUAGAGCGUUUGGCUUAUCUUUAAUAAAGCAU
rnacentral:rRNA from 1 species